ACCUUGGUAGUUCAGUGGUAGAAUUCCUGCCUUACAUCCAGGAGAUCUGGGUUCAAUUCCUGAUCGAUGCA
rnacentral:tRNA from 1 species